rnacentral:siRNA from 1 species
AAGGAUCAGACCGUGAUGGUGGUA